rnacentral:misc_RNA from 1 species
AUUAGAAGGUAAUUUGUACCUCUUCGUUUUUACAUUUGUUGUAUGCAUUCCUGUUCUCAUAGAUCUUCCUUCUUCUCUCCUCCUCCCUGAUUGAGAUCUAAUUAUGCUUGUUGCACUGUUUGAUUUCAUUUUUUUAGGUUUUUUUUAUUACUUAGAAUCCCUAUACGCGUUUGAAUCUAUUGUCUUUUAGCUUAGAUCUUAGGCUUUUUAAUUCUCUCUCUCUUUUAUUUUUUUGAAAUUCUCCUGUGGGCGCUUGCUGAGAAAAUAUGGGAAUGGAGAGGAAAGUUCUACUUAUGGG